CUACGGGCGGCUCCAGUGGGGAAUAUUGGACAAUGGGGGAAACCCUGAUCCAGCAAUGCCGCGUGUGUGAAGAAGGCCUGCGGGUUGUAAAGCACUUUCGGUUGGGAGGACUGCUUCUAGCACUAAUAUUGUUGGAAGUUGACGUUACCUUCAGAAGAAGCACCGGCUAACUCCGUGCCAGCAGCCGCGGGAAUACGGAGGGUGCAAGCGUGAAUCGGAAUUACUGGGCGUAAAGCGCGCGGAGGCGGCUAGAUCAGUCGGGUGUGAAAGCCCCGGGCUUAACCUGGGAACUGCAUCCGAUACUGUCUAGCUUGAGUACAGGAGAGGAGAGUGGAAUUCCACAUGUAGCGGUGAAAUGCGUAGAUAUGUGGAGGAACACCAAUGGCGAAGGCAGCUCUCUGGCCUGAUACUGACGCUGAGGUGCGAAAGCGUGGGGAGCAAACAGGAUUAGAUACCCCUGUAGUC
rnacentral:rRNA from 1 species